rnacentral:lncRNA from 1 species
AUAACCGCCGGUGUCUCCUAUCCUCACAGAAGAGACGCUAUAACGUAGACGUUACGCUACGUACAUUUAGAAGCAUUAAAUGCGCGCUGCGCUGGGAGCGUAUAUCCACGCUAUUCACCAGACAGUGUGUUUGCUGAUCCAUGAAUCCAUUGCACUAUUAUGGUGACAUAUUGCACCCUUAUGAACUUAGUUCUACUAUUUUACCCUACGUUGCACUAUUAACCGCGUUGCGAACCGUUUCCUUUCGCCUCACCGGAGAGACACUAUAACGUACACGUUACUGUACAUACGCUUCCGCAAACAUUAAAUGCGCCCCAGCGCGGGAAACCUAAUAUUCCACGCUAUUCGCCACACCGAGUGUUUGCAGUUUGGAAUCUUCACCGACGCCUCCGCUUCCUGAAAUUAUUAAACUAUUCUGUCGACCACAUUGCACCAUUACAAUCACAGUUGUAGUCUUUUACCCUACGUUGCACUAUUAAUCGCCGUGCGCGGUCGCACUGUUACACGCUUUAGCGGAGAAUCUUGAACGCUUUUGAUCUGAGUUACACCACUUAAAGCCUUCUUUAAAUAUAAAUAUCAUUUCAUCUCACAAUGCGUUGCACUAUUAUCGGCCCGCAAAACCAAGUAAUGUUGUUCCGCCACGGCCGCCAAACGUCCGCAUACAACCGGGCAGAAGAAAGGUUUCGCGGCGAGAGUCUAUUGCUAACUGCUUAAUAAAGAAGUGGUGCCGGAAUUGCCAGAGAUUAGGGCACAACAAAAGGUCAUGCAAGAACCCUCCUGUGGCUAGAGCAAACCAGCUGCCCGCGACGACAUCCGCGGGCGCACCGCAGGAAACAUCGGAAAAUCCAUACAUCUUAUUGUAAUAGCUCAAGGCUAAUGUUAAUAGUGAACAUAUAGAUAAUUUGAUUAAGUAAAUUUUUGUAAUAGUAUAAAAUAGAGGAUAACAGUUCAACAUAUUUAAUAAAUAGUGUAACGACGAUCUCAAAAUUUUUACUGGUUAAGUGAGGUUGCACUGAAACGAGUCUACGGAUGCACUGUUAUAGCGGUCAUUGCACCAUUUCUACUGCAGUAGAAAAUUCCCGUUGCACUAGUAUCCCUGACGCACAGAGGCUAAUUCGACACGGCUUCUGAAUAGUCGGUUUAUCUUUUCGUGACAGUUUCGAUAUACCCACCGGUGUCUCUUCGAGCGCCGAAGGGACGCUAUAACGUACACGUUAGUGUUUGUUAUCAGGUUUAUAAUUUAUUAGAGGUCAGCCGAAGAGGCAGCGGUGGGUUGGUGAGGUGACGAUUCGUUUUGUUUAAAUAUCGGUUCUUCAGAUGCAUUCCCCAUUACGGAGACAGUGGUGUUCGUGAAAGAAGUGAAGACGACAACGGCAUUCCCGGUAAGAGAAAGCGCAGCGCUUCCCCUCCGCAGCAGCGCUUCCCCUCUUACGAGGACGGUCGUGCGUCGCCUUCGACUCGUUCACAAAUAUUGGCCUUGCUUUAACCUCCUCGCCUUUACGUAGAGAAGAUUCGCACUCUCUGGAGUGUUUUAUUUGCUAGGAGCCCAUUGGCCCUCCUCUCAUCUCAUACAGUUUCUUAAUUUCUUGCAGAUAUUUAUUUUUAUCGUUGGAUUCUAAUGUUUUUCUGUCUGUACUGUCUGUUUCAUGGUAGAGCGGAGCUCCAAAUUGCCCAAAGCAAAUGAAACAUUCCAGAUAGUGCGAAUCUAACGCCUCAUUGCUGGAUCGAUCGUACCCUUCCGAUCGAGCCUCCUCCUCCUCCUAGCAGUCUCCUUCGGCAGUCUCUUUUGGCCAAUACCUGUUUGCGUCGGCUAUUUGAUCAUGGAUUUGCAGAUAAACUUCGAUGAUUACAUAAUCAAUCUUAUGAAGAGAUUGUUAUAGUUGAUGUAAUAGAUGGUUGCAUUGUGAUAAAAUCGUNUGUUUGUAUUUUAUUAAGUACUAUAAAAUCGUGUAAUCGGCUUUACAGAUAAUGUAAUUCUUGUUCACAGAUUAAUGUACUCCUUACGAAUUUGUUAUACUAUUUACAAGUUACUCUUUUUUACCAAACAUUGUUGCACUGUUUACUUCAUUUUAUAAUAUUAAUUUCAGUUUUUUUGCACUUUUAUGUUCAUGUUUUCACCUAGCCUGGGAAACGUUAAUAAGGAAUUGCACUAUUAUGUUAUUAUUAUCAACUAGCUUGGGAAACGUUAAUAUGAAACUGCGGAAGCCAUAUUUAAACAAAACCAAAAUAUGUUUGAAUAGUUGCUUUUACUUUUCCCGUGGCAGCUUUGAUAUAACCGCCGGUGUCUCCUAUCCUCACAGAAGAGACGCUAUAAUGUAGACGUUACGCUACGUACUUUUAAAAGCAUUAAAUGCGCGCUGCGCUGGGAGCGUAUAUCCAUGCUAUUCGCCAAAACAUGUGUUUGCUGUUCCAUGAAUCCAUUAUACUAUUAUGGUGACAUAGUUGCACCCUUAUGAACUUUGUUCUACUAUUUUACCCUACGUUGCACUAUUAACCGCGUUGCAAACCGUUUCCUUUCGCCCCACCGGUGUCACGCCCCGGGACCGGCGGAGGCCCUCCCGGUAGCGUGCCCAGACCCGCCAUAUGUCUACACAUAUAAGGCGUCUACACUAAAAGCGGAAGUAAAAGCGAAAAAAAAGAACAGUAGAGUAAAUAGCAACUAAUGAUAUCAGAGCGAGUAAAUUUCUAUCAUCUACACCAAGGUAAAGAAAUAAGGCUAGACAACAAAAGAAACCAUAAGUAGAACACUAUCUGUCUCAAAAGUACAAAAAUGGUGGUCUCUAGUACACUGGUAAAACUCUCAACCUCUCGCAAAAAGAAAUACAUCGAGAGGUAGACCACCUAACAACUCGUCCCUCGCUGAAGAGCUAGCUGGAAGCAAUGCCCUUCCCUCGGUCCCUGGCCUCACCCGGCGUGGAAGGCUCUGAAAGAAAUCAUAAAACAGAGGGCGUGAGAACUAUAAUUUAUAGUUCCCAGUGGGCAAUUACUGACCUCAGCUCAUCGCACCACUAGGCCCCAAAAGAAAAGGAGUAAGUAUAAUAAACAACAAUAAGGAUAACAGUAACAACAGUAAGAAAGUAUAAUUGAAGUGCUAACCCAUAUGUCUCAAGUAAGCAUGAUGCCAUGGUGAUGUACAUCUACGCUAUCAUAAGAUAAUAUGUCCAAUGCAUACUAAUAUGUCUCAACAUAAUAAACAAGUAAACCUCACGAUGCAAUAUGUCAAUGCAUAAGGGUAAACACUAUCCAAACGACCGAGUAUACUACUAUGCAAUAAUGAAACCGGCAAGUAUACUAAAUGUACCAAUGCUAUAUCAUGAGCAUGUCCAAGCAAUCCAACUACUAAUCCUAUCUAGUAGUGAUUGUCCAUAUACAACACCGUGUCGAUUUCCAUUUCCAAUUUAAGGACCUACUCAAGGUAGUCCAGCUUGUGCCGCCUAAGUGUCUGUGGUAGCCCGACAUCCCUACUCUUGGAAUGUGUCUGUCCCACUCGACCCCGUAGGCUUCUCAAUACCGCACGAGCGAACGUAGUCGCGUAGGCUAACUCCGGAGUGCCGGCUUGUAGGGAGCGACCCUCACAAGCAUGUGCGAAUGAGCACAAAUGGCAAGCAAGCGUAGUCCAAGUC